AUUUAUAGGGUUUGCAAACCUCCCCCUUGUAAGCUAGCUUUUGAAGUAGAUAUAAGCACGUUCAUAUCACACCACAUAGCACAUUCACACAAUUCUGUCCCAAUAUGUCCUAGGUGGUCAGGAACAUAGAUUUGCUUGUACAUCUAGAUUGUGGAAAGUUUCACAGAGACACUCUUCUCUAGAUUCUCAAGGUAAGGCUUGAAUUGCACCCAAAAACCACAGGCAGAAACAAAAUUUUAAGUGCAGAUAAAAAUAAUAACUUUCUUUUUCUAGAGCAAAAAUGUAAGCAAUUUAUUGAACCUUAACCAGCAAAGCAUUGAAGACUAUGAAGAAGAAGAAGAAAGAGGAAGUUUUCUACAGUAAAAUAGCAUGCCAAGAUCUAUAAAAAGUCAAGAAAAAUACAAAAUUUACCUCAUAAUAGUCAUCUAAGCCA
rnacentral:misc_RNA from 1 species